rnacentral:rRNA from 1 species
UAUUGCACAAUGGGCGGAAGCCUGAUGCAGCGACGCCGCGUGAGUGAAGAAGUAUCUCGGUANGUAAAGCUCUAUCAGCAGGGAANNNNNNNANGGUACCUGACUAAGAAGCCCCGGCUAACUACGUGACNGCAGCCGCGGGAAUACGUAGGGGGCAAGCGUUAUCCGGAUUUACUGGGUGGAAAGGGAGCGUAGACGGCGAAGCAAGGCUGGAGUGAAAGCCCGGGGCCCAACCCCGGGACUGCUUUGGAAACUGUGCUGCUGGAGUGCAGGAGAGGUAAGUGGAAUUCCUAGUGUAGCGGUGAAAUGCGUAGAUAUUAGGAGGAACACCAGUGGCGAAGGCGGCUUACUGGACUGUAACUGACGUUGAGGCUCGAAAGCGUGGGGAGCAAA